AUUGAACGCUGGCGGCAGGCCUAACACAUGCAAGUCGAGCGGUAGAGAGGAGCUUGCUUCUCUUGAGAGCGGUGGACGGGUGAGUAAUGCCUAGGAAUCUGCCUGGUAGUGGGGGAUAACGUUCGGAAACGGACGCUAAUACCGCAUACGUCCUACGGGAGAAAGUGGGGGAUCUUCGGACCUCACGCUAUCAGAUGAGCCUAGGUCGGAUUAGCUAGUUGGUGAGGUAAAGGCUCACCAAGGCGACGAUCCGUAACUGGUCUGAGAGGAUGAUCAGUCACACUGGAACUGAGACACGGUCCAGACUCCUACGGGAGGCAGCAGCGGGGAAUAUUGGACAAUGGGCGCAAGCCUGAUCCAGCCAUGCCGCGUGUGUGAAGAAGGUCUUCGGAUUGUAAAGCACUUUAAGUUGGGAGGAAGGUCAGUAGCUUAAUACGUUGCUGAUUUGACGUUACCGACAGAAUAAGCACCGGCUAACUCUGUGCCAGCCGCCGCAGUAAAAC
rnacentral:rRNA from 1 species